CAGCCAGUGCCCUACACUAUACAAGAUGCCACUGUAGGGACAGGGAUGACCUCUAGCAAGGUGACCCUCAGUGGGCCAGAGGGGGCUUCUGAAGAGAAUUUCUCUAGCUUCUUGGUGUUUCCUGCCUGCUACUUUCAAACAAGGGUCCCAUUUUUAAUGUUUUCCCAGUAAUACCUUAUGAAUGUUAUUGCAAAGCAGCGGGCUAAAUCAACACCACAGGCCCCGUGAUCAAUAUAUGUGAUGAGGACAUUACAUCCUGGUGUUGUUGCCCCAAGUCUUGACGUGAAUCUGACCACAAGGACAAUUCGGACAACCUGAAAUGGUGACGCAUUCUACAAAAUAAACAUCAAUGUCAUGAAAGACAAAGACUCAAGAUUUUCUGCUUAAUGGAGACUAAAGAGAUGCGACAACAGAAUGCCAGGCAUGAUCUUGGAUAUUCUUUUGGCUCAAACAGUCUUAGGACAAUUGAAAAAACGUGAAUGAGGUCUGUAGCUAAUAGAAUUGUGUCAAUGCC
rnacentral:lncRNA from 10 species